rnacentral:tRNA from 1 species
CUGUGGCAAUAAGGGGUCGUCCCCUGUUGGUGGGUCUACAGCCCACUACCUCGUCUCGGCCAUAUUACC